rnacentral:rRNA from 1 species
UAGGGAAUAUUAGAAAUGGACGAAAGUCUGAUCUAGCAACACCGCGUGUGCGAAGAAGGCCUUCGGGUUGUAAAGCACUUUUUGGAAGGAUUAGGAAGGAAUGUACUUCCAGAAUAAGUCUCGGCUAACUACGUGCCAGCAGCCGCGGUAACACGUAGGAGGCAAACGUUAUCCGGAUUUACUGGGCGUAAAGCGCGUGUAGGUGGUUCUGUAAGUAGGGCGUGAAAGCUCCUGGCUCAACUGGGAGAGGCCGUUCUAAACUGCAGAGCUAGAGGAUGGUAGAGGGAGGUGGAAUUCCGGGUGUAGCGGUGGAAUGCGCAGAUAUCCGGAGGAACACCAGUGGCGAAAGCGGCCUCCUGGACCAAACCUGACACUCAGACGCGAAAGCUAGGGUAGCAAACA